ACCUGACUCAUUUGUUUGCUUUUAACACUGAUCAGCUGUAGGACGGCCCUUUGAAGCCCCGCGGCAAGAGUUUAAACAGGUUUUUUCCCUCUAGUCAUCAGCUGGGACUCAGGAGGCAGCAAUAGAUUGGGGGUGGGACCAAAUAAAAGAUUUUAAAGAAAUAGGAGAAAACCAGUCCCUGUUUUCAGAGGACAAGAAUAUUUGAAGGAAAACUAAGAUGGGAAUUUCAGCCUGGAAUAUUUUAUUGCCUAUGUCCUUUUCCAGUUUCUCAUUGCUUCCAGCUUUCUAUUCCUAUUUUAUUGCAGUCAAACUGAAUGGUGUUUUUGACAACAUCAUGGACAUAACUGCGUGCGGUGGAUGUGGUUUGCCAUUUCUUUCUGGGAUGCAGUUUUGAUUUCCAGUCUGUUUUACAGCCCUGAUGUUCCCUGGAGGUCUACCAUUAAUGAGCACCAGUCCUGAUGAGGUUCCAAGUCCAGACAUGGUCAGCUGCCAUCUGCUAAGAAUGUGUUGCAGUACAGCAAAUAAAUUGCUGGGGUGUGUACCACACUCCUACACGCAGCUUAGGGCAUUUCCACAUAGCCAUCAUCUGUAUCCUCAAAUCC